AGGCUAUUUAAACUUCGUUUGGCAUUUUUGUAUUUUAGUUAAUAUAUCAUAAUAUAUAGUUGUUGUAAUAAUCAUUAGGAUUCCUGACCGAUUUAAUUAAAUGUAAAUGUAGAACUGAAACACACCUUUGUUUUCCCCCCCGACCAAUCUCAUUCAAAAGUGCAAACACUGGCUUCAACCAAUACAUCCAUUAGCCGUAUUGAACUAUAUAACUGGAAUGGCCGAGGCCCCUCUCCAGCCCCCAUAGUGCCCCC